rnacentral:lncRNA from 1 species
GAAAGAGGAGAAGAAGAGGGGAAGAAGAAGAAAGAGGAGAGGAGGAGGAAGAAGAAGAAGGCUAAUUUUCUGGAAUUCAUUCAUUAAAAAUUAAGCAAAUGCAUGCCCUAUAUAUGUAGGGCCACCAAAUAACAAAUAAGUCCCUAUGAAGAAAACAAUUCGAAAGAGGCCCUCAAAAGACAAUAUGCAAACUAAUCCUACCCACAUAAAAUAAAUAAUAAAAAUGACAUCAAUCAAUCCAGCCACAACGAAAGUGGCUGGACCGUCUUCCUGCGACAACCAUGAUCCUGCAAAAUAAUCNNNNNNNNNNNNNNNNNNNNNNNNNCUCCCCCCGGGUAAGAAGAAGUCGACCCCGACGAAUGACUCUGGUAGUACUCCAAAAGAUCUGGGUCAACGCGCUGUAACUCCGCACGAGUAAUCCAUGUAGUAUCAGACUCCGGGCGUCCUCGCCAACGAACCAGGAAACGCUGAACACCCCCAUCUCUGGUAGAAACAGUCUGCUCAUCUAAAAUGGCAUCAAUAUGUUCUUUUUGUGCUGGUGGUAAAGCUAGAGUGGACGGAGAUGGUAUGGAAUCAAGAAUAGGAGUAUCAUCAAGCUCAAGUGAAGGCUGAGCGAAAGGAUCAGUAGGAAUAGAAAGGGGGCCCUUGUAAGCAACCAAAUCCUCAAUAUUAAAAGUGGAGCUAAUACCAAAAUCAGAGGGAAGAUCAAGAACGUAAGCAUUAGUACCCACUCGUUGCAAUACCCGAAAGGGCCCA